CUGCCAGCCAAAGGAGCACCACUUCCGGGUCACGCAGCGCGAGCCCCUCCUCCUCAGGACGCAGGGGCGAGCAGUGACUGCGCCUGCGCUAGCGACUUGGCUUUCGCGGGGGCCGCGGGGGCCGCUGGGGUUUGGAUGUCGGGGACGCGCAGGGGCGCGCGCGGCGGUGAGGACGCGCUUCUUUGGUCGCGCGCGCCGGAACGCGGACUCUGAGUGGAAACCGAAGACGCACGAGGGAGGAACGCGUCGAGCAUGAAGAGACAGGGGGCCUCCUCCGAGCGGAAACGGGCGCGGAUACCGUCCGGGAAGGCCGGAGCAGCAAAUGGAUUUCUCAUGGAAGUGUGUGUUGAUUCAGUGGAGUCAGCUGUAAAUGCAGAAAGAGGAGGUGCUGGUCGGAUUGAAUUAUGUUCUGGCUUAUUGGAAGGAGGAACCACACCCAGCAUGGGUGUCCUUCAAGUAGUGAAGCAAUGUGUCCAGAUCCCAGUUUUUGUGAUGAUUCGGCCACGUGGAGGUGAUUUUUUAUAUUCGGAUCGUGAAAUUGAGGUGAUGAAGGCUGACAUUCGUCUUGCCAAACUUUAUGGUGCUGAUGGUUUGGUAUUUGGGGCAUUGACUGAAGAUGGACACGUUGACAAAGAGCUGUGCAUGUCCCUUGUGGCGAUUUGCCGUCCUCUGCCCGUCACUUUCCACCGAGCCUUUGACAUGGUUCAUGAUCCAAUGGCAGCUCUAGAGACCCUCUUAACUUUGGGAUUUGAACGAGUAUUGACCAGUGGAUGUGACAGUUCAGCACUAGAAGGGUUACCCCUAAUAAAGCGACUCAUAGAUCAGGCAAAAGGCAGGAUUGUGGUAAUGCCAGGCGGUGGCAUAACAGAAAGAAAUCUGCAAAGGAUCCUUGAGGGAUCAGGUGCUACAGAAUUCCACUGUUCUGCUCGGUCUGCUAGAGAUUCAGGAAUGAAGUUUCGAAAUUCCUCUGUUGCCAUGGGAGCCUCUCUUUCUAGCUCAGAAUAUUCUCUAAAGGUAACAGAUGUGACCCAAGUAAGAACUUUGAAUGCUAUUGCAAAGAAUAUUCUGGUUUAGCCACCUCUCUGAGAGACAUGGAUAUCACAGGAUAAAGGUAGAAGAGUAGUCUACAAUUCUCUAUGAUACAGCUUUAACCUUCUUCUCUGGCCAGGGCAGUCACAAUCUUUGUUUUAAGUCUCACAUGGCCAUGGAGAAUGUUUCCAAGAAGAAAAAGAACUUGAAACAGAGCUACAGUCACUUCCUUUGCUUAAUCUUGCCAGCCGUCUCUCCAUCACAUCAUGGUUAAAUCUUGUCUAUGUGUCUUCCACAGAUAGAGGCUUAAUCUGUUUUAGUGGAAUUAAUUGAUGAACUGGGAAAAUUCAGCUGCAAGAAAUUGACAAGUUGACCCUCAAGUUCAUCUGGAAAUGCAAGAGACCGAGAAUAGCCCAACAGUCUUGAAAAAGAGCAAAAUUGGACUCACAUUUCUCAAUUUCAAAACUUACUACA